GGCAUUCCAACAAAGGACUAUUCUAACAGGAUUAACUCGUGCACGAAUUCAAUUCCAGGGACCAACGAAGACAAAGAAUGGCUGACCCCAUUUCCGUCCCUUGGGAGGCAAUUAGCUUUUUGUAGAACAAAAAGAGUUUCUUAAGCUGCACAGUUAGAGGAAAAAAACGCAUUGUUUUGGAGUCUCGUUCAAGAGGAAAGCCACCAAAAAGCCACUGACACUGUAUGAACUGCAAGUUGCUUUUUAGUUUCACGCGACCACGGACCGGACAUGAUGUGACUCCACUUCUCUCCACUGCCGGAUUUGGACCUCAUGUUUCAAAAGAACUUAUGGACAAUUUCAUUAUUUUUUGACCUAAACUUUAUUGGCUAACGCUGACAGCCAUUGCAAGAGAAAGUUGUGAGUAAUUUUGAUGUUGAGCGUGUAACCGGCUUGAGCUCCAGCGAGCGGGCACUGACGGAGAAACACAGGAUAGACUUUUUAAAGAUGGACCCGCUCUGGUGUUGAGCACUCGUUGGUUUACGAGCUCCAUGAAAUUACCUUGGAAUCUUGCAGAAUUGGACAUGAAAUGACUUUGAACUGAACUAAUUUUCACAAGACAAGUCAACUGUUGGAGUGAAGGACGGGCCUGCUGAAGUAUCUUCAAUGAACUUGUGUGUUUGGUGUUUUUGUCUGUGGAUCUAAGACGUGAAGGAAGGAUGUACUCAAGGUAAAGAAAGUCUGUGGACAAGUUGUCAAGAAAUGUGUUAUGAACAGAAACAUUGAACUUGAGAGACAAUGAACUUAUGUGGUGUGUGUUUUGUCUAUGGAUCCAUGAAGAAAUGUCGUCGAAAGGUAAAGAUUAAGGCAACCACGGUAAGCGAAGACCUAACCCAAUUCCCUCCCAAUGCUAGCAGGUUUUUUACCUCCCUUCUCAUGUACAGGGUUUUCUACGAGUAUUUUGUUGAUGUUGUCAACUAGUUUUCUGUUUUACGAAAUUGACGUCCCCUUUCCCUAGGCUGGUCUAAAUGGUUCUUGUUAUGGCACAAUGGUCGCAGCCAUGUGGUGCUUUCUCGGGACUCAAUGUCCCAAAUCAAUAUUGGACAUUUGCUUGGGUUGUUGGAGCUGCUUUUAGUUGUCAUGAAUUUCAAACAACACUAAACUAUUUUUUAGGUAUUUCUGUAAAAUUAACAAAAUUGUUUAGGGUCUCAAAACAAAACGUUUAUUAUUGCCUGGCCACCACUCACGAACAUUCCAAUACCUUCAACUAUUAAAGGUUACUUGAAAAAGAAAUCAUAUAAAAACGUAACUUUAUUUCAGGGCUUUACAAAGCCUUGCAAAUGUAAGAGGAAAAUGUAAAAACUGAUCCAGCUAAAUUCUAAUAAAGCUGGAGAGACAUGACAUAAUAAGGUGAAACUACGAGUAAAUCUCAUUAUUGUUCAGCAAACAAGAUACUGAACAAUUUUUGAGUUCUUGCUUAUAGAAUGACCCUCAUAACUGUAAAAAGUAUACCGUAAAGAUUAGUCCCACUGAAUUACACACUGUUUAAAACGUGUUUUUUUAUAAAGAAAACCCAUGAAUGUAACAAACGAGAUUCAUUAAGUUGAGCUCUUGCUCAUACAAUAAUUUAUUUGACCCCACCCCUUUCUAGAAAUGUCCAUUAAUUGAUUGAACCUAGAAAUCAGAACGAAUAGGAUUUUCAUAAAAUAACAAGAAAAUGUAAAACAAAACAAAAUAUUGAGCGCAGCGCGCGGCAAGGUAUACAAAAUGAGAAGAUACUACAGAGUUCUAGUGUGUUCAACGUCUUUUGAUGUCUUCCUCGCCACUGCACUGAUGGUGAAAAGCAACUCCAUGCCAUGAUGGCCAUCUGAGGUAAUUAUCAUUGGGAAAGUAAGUAUAUAGCAAGGCCUAGAGAUUAAGUUUUAGUCUAGGCUAGGAUUUUUUUUCUCCACUACAGAUUCAAGCCAUGUUCCUGUUUAGGCAAUCUUCACUGACGAUGAUCUGACUUGAUGAGACAUGAUUCCAGAAGGAGUAAACACACAACAACAAAGGUCAUUGGUUGCAGAAAGGUCAAGUAUAAGGUCAAGUAUAAAGGUCAUGGUGGUAAGGUCAAACCAACACUCUAACAAAAAAAUUCUUCCGUCCACAGGAUUUUAACCACUUUUAUCCGCAGCCUAACCAAAUUUUAUUCACAGCAAUCAUGUUAACAAAAUUCUCCUCCCACAGACAAUAAUACACACUAUUUGUUAUCUUCCUUCCUACAGAUUGACUGUUUCCUAGUAAUCGGAGGUGCCUUGGUAAGACAAACUGGGUCAAAUUGAUUUGAAUUAUUUUGUGUGUUCUAAUCUUUAUUGUUGUGAGUUUGUCUUGCAGGACGGCUGCAGUUUUUCUUCAUGGCGACCCAGGUGCGUGUGUGACAAUAAAAAUGGGUAACGUAUGACCAUGGCUCCAUGGUAUGACAAAGAUCGAGUGAGCUGAGGUGAAAUGGUGAUUUUUUUGUGUGAUUUUUUUUUUUAAGCAGAUGAUCGUCGAAGUUUGAUGACGGAUGCUCAUAUUGGUGUGUGCGUAGCAAUUGAGGCUGAUCUGGCAUGAUUGACAGGUUGUUGUAGUGUUUCCUACUGUCCAACAGUGUCUGGCAGUUCAACUAUGAGACUGACAUGAUAGAUAGAUGAAUAUGCCGUGUCUUGCAAACGAACACAAACAACACCUAGAAGUAGAACUACAAGGAUAAUGAUCUUUGUGCCUACCCAUUCAUCGAGCUAUACGACGGAGGAUCCAUCCACUUCAUGGCACCACUGUCCAAACAGAAGGACUUCUACGUACCUGAGACAGGCGGCUUUGAGAUCAGAGAGCUAUUCGCCGGUGUGCUAGACCCAGGAUAUGAGACGGAAGUAUUAGCCAAGAAGACAGCGACGAAAGCCUCCUAAAGACACGACCAUCCGGUGAAGAUAGUACUAAUAGUGAUAGUUCAUUUGAGCAGCUAGAUCCUCCUUCUAACUAAAUCUGAAAUAAAAAGCUGGAUUGACCAAUGAAUGGAUUGCAAUAGAUGCCAUCGGUCGCCAUCUGUGAUGAAUUGUGCGCGCGUGAAGAGCUACCAUUGGCUGAGAGUCACGCACAGCAUGCACACGUGUGCACUUUUCCCAUUCAAAGUUUUACAUCAAAGAUGGCAGUCAGUGACACGUUUUGCAACCCUUCUAUGGACUAAUUGGGAUUAGGUAGUUGUAGUUGGUGGGGUCUGGGGUUAAUAGUGAUAUUUCAUUUGAGCAGCUAAAUCCUCCUUCUUACUAAUCUGAAAUAAAAAGCUGGAUUGACAAAUGGAUUAAUUGGAAUUAGAUAGUGGCUGGGGUCUGGGAUUAAUUGGGUGUCCGAAAUGGCUGUAAAAGUUAAAGGCUUCUCGCAGUACUGUUUAGGUUUGAAUGAUAAACUAGGAUAUCCUAAUUCUAAACAGGGUAUACUUUGUAUGUGUACUUCUGGCAUUUUGAACAUAAAAAAAUAGUAAUUGCAAAUGUGUUUUAGCAGAAAACAAGCAAAGAAUCGACCUUGUUUUGAGACAGUUUUAUUUCCUUUGUAGUAAGUUAUCUUACUUCAUAGGUAUUAGAUUGGAUCGGUAAGAAUAGUGUGACAUUGUUUAAUUUUGUAAAGCUACAUGUAAGUGAUUAUGAAGAUCGUACUGGAUCCAUUUUUUCUGCGAAAUAUUUCCGUCUGAAAUAAAGUCAUAUUUGUGAAAACUGUAUCUGAAAAUCUACAAAAUUGCAAGACCUUAUUUCAGUUGUUUCAUCCAAAAUUACAUGCUGAAAACUGACAUGGGUUUUCAUUAUUUUCUCCCGACUCACACCAUCACAGUAUAAGCCAAAAUUUAUUCACAGUUUUGUUGUUAUGGUUGAUCACACAAAACAUGAACGCUGUCUGCGAUUUUGUUGUCAGCUCUACCAAUCCUGUAUAAUUUCACAAAGAGUUAAGCCCUAGUCUUUUCUCGAGUUAGGUCGAGUUGCCAGUUCUACCUUGCUCAUCCUAACUUGAACUAGCAGUUAUUAGUAUACACCUAUUGACUGGCAAUGAGGUAACUAGUAUACGUCUAUUCCCCCGAGGGACUUUGAGUGACCAGA